rnacentral:ncRNA from 1 species
CUCAUAAAGUAUGUCGUAGUCCGGAUUGAGUCUGCAACUCGACUCCAUGAAGUCGGAAUCGCUAGUAAUCGUAGAUCAGAAUGCUACGGUGAAUACGUUCCCGGGCCUUGUACACACCGCCCGUCACACCAUGGGAGUGGGUUGCAAAAGAAGUAGGUAGCUUAACCUUCGGGAGGGCGCUUACCACUUUGUGAUUCAUGACUGGGGUGAAGUCGUAACAAGGUAACCGUAGGGGAACCUGCGGUUGGAUCACCUCCUUA